rnacentral:rRNA from 1 species
AUUGAACGCUGGCGGCAGGCCUAACACAUGCGAGUCGAACGAGUGGCGGACGGGUGAGUAAUGUCUGGGAAACUGCCUGAUGGAGUGGGAUAACUACUGGAAACGGUAGCUAAUACCGCAUACCAUCGGAUGUGCCCAGAUGGGAGUAGCUAGUAGGUGGGGUAAAGGCUAACCUAGGAGACGAUCCCUAGCUGGUCUGAGAGGGUGACCAGUCACACUGGAACUGAGACACGGUCCAGACUCCUACUGGAGGCAACAGUGUGGAAUAAGGCACAAUGGGUGCAAGCCUGAGACAGCCACGGAGCGGGUAUAAAGAAGGCCUUCGGGUUGUAAGCUACUUUCAAAGGAGCAGCGUUACCCGCAGAGUAUACGCCGGCUAACUCCGUGCCAGCAGCCGCGGUAAUAC